UGGGGUGUGGCUCAGUGGUAGAGCACUAGCCCAGCACACCGUGAGCACUGUGUUCAAUCCUCAGCACCACAU
rnacentral:tRNA from 1 species